rnacentral:rRNA from 1 species
UACAGAGGGGGCUAGCGUUGUUCGGAAUCACUGAGUGUAAAGGGUGCGUAGGCUGUCCGUUAAGUCUGAUGUGAAAGCCCUGGGCUCAACCUGGGAAUGGCAUUGGAAACUGGCGACCUAGAGUGCGGUAGAGGGUAGUGGAAUUCCCGGUGUAGCAGUGAAAUGCGUAGAGAUCGGGAGGAACAUCUGUGGCGAAGGCGACUGCCUGGACCAGCACUGACACUGAGGCACGAAAGCGUGGGGAGCAAACAGG